GUCUUUUUGAAAAUAAUAAAAAGUCUAAUCUGCCCACUGAAUUUAUUUAAAGGGCUGCAGUAUAUUGACUGUACAAAGGUAGCAUAAUCAGUAGUCUUUUAAUUGAAGACUUGUAUGAAUGAUUUGAUGAAAUAUAAACUGUCUCUUUAUUAAAAAUAAAAUUUAAUUUUUUAGUUAAAAAGCUAAAAUAACUAUAAAAGACGAGAAGACCCUAUAGAGUUUUAUAAUUAUUGUAAUUUGAUAAUUUUUUAUAUAAAUUAAAUUUUAAUUUAAAUAAUUAUUUUAUUGGGGUGAUAGAAAAAUUAAAUGAACUUUUUUUAAUUUAAAACAUUAAUUUAUGAUACUAUGAUCCAUAAUUUAUGAUUAAAAGAAUUAAUUACCUUAGGGAUAACAGCGUAAUUUUUUUUUUUAGUACAAAUAAGAAAAAGAGUUUGCGACCUCGAUGUUGGAUUAAGAUAAAAUUUAAAUGCAAAAGUUUAAAAUUUUUGAUCUGUUCGAUCAUUAAAAUCUU
rnacentral:rRNA from 1 species